CNAAGUUUCCGUAGGUGAACCUGCGGAAGGAUCAUUG
rnacentral:rRNA from 1 species